GGAGUUGUAGCUCAGAGGUAGAGCGCUCACUUGCCAUGUGUGAGGCACUGGGUUCCAUCCUCAGCACCA
rnacentral:tRNA from 2 species